rfam:Erinaceus europaeus unplaced genomic scaffold scaffold00031, whole genome shotgun sequence
GUACUCCCUUUGGUAGCACAUAUACUAAAAAUAGAAUGACAGAGGAGAUUAGCAUGGCCCCUGCCCAAAAAUGGCCCACAAAUUUGUGACCACUUCAUGGUUUUU